GGGGGGGGGCUAAUUAAAAGCACGAGGAAUUAUAAAUAUACAAUUCAACAGGGGUAGAGUGCAUCGAGGAAUGGGAAUUAAAAUUGUCUCUUCACGAUGAUCGAAAAAAGUAUCUUGCACGUUAUUUUCAUCAUCUUGUCUGAAACACUCUGAAUAAUGAGCUUCAAGGCGAAAACAAGGCAUGUGAAAUACUAAUAACAUACACUUCUUUUUUUAUACGUUGUAUGGACAAACCCAUAAAUCCCUCAACAAAAAUUGCUUGAUUCAUGUCAUAUCAAAUAAAUUACAGCGCGGAAAGGUAACUUUAAUUUAAUAUCAAAACUAAAUUUUUGUUAUAUUUUUCAAUAAAUUUAUAAAUCUUAAUUAGGCAUGCGUUGCG
rnacentral:lncRNA from 1 species